GUGUAAUCAGCACAGAAUGAGUUUUCUCUAUGCCACUGUUUUAUCUAUGUUGACUACAUGCUGCUUUUUUCUUAUUAACUCCUAUUUGUAUCCGCCCAAACCCCUUGUUGGUUUGGGCUUUUUUUG
rnacentral:antisense_RNA from 1 species